rnacentral:rRNA from 1 species
CCGUUGCAAGGGACUCCGAAGAGCUGUGGCAAGGGGUGAAAAGCCAAUCUAACCUGGAGAUAGCUGGUCUUCUGCGAAACCCGUUUUAGCGGGUCGCCCAUUUAUUGAAAUUAAAUUCGUUACUAGACGGUACGGCACUGGAAGCCACGCAGCUUUUGCUGCAUAAUCGGGGGGCUGUCAUGGCUCUAUCGAUGGCUUCUAACCCCGGAAAUGUAUAGUAUACAAUGAUGGGCAAUCAGACGUAUCGUGAUAAGGCGAUUCGUCAAAAGGGCAACAGCCCAGAACAGGUGUGAAGGUCCCUAACAAGCUACUGAGUGAACACAAGGCAGUCCUCUCCAGUGUCUCUCCACAAAGUGGGCUUGGAAGCAGCCACCUUUUAGCGAUAGCGUAACAGCUCAGUGGUCUGAGCCUCCCUGUAAAAAGGGAAUAUUGCCUGGUGAGGGCGCCAAAAAUGUAACGGGUCUAUAGUAGUUGUCUCUCUGUUCCAGCUUUGGAUAUGGGGGGAGUGGCAGUUUCUUCACUGUCUCACCGAAACCCUGUCCUAGAUGUAAAAUUCUAGGGGUAGCAGAAUACCCAGCAAAUGGAAUGAAGCUUGCUCAUUGAGCCGGUGGACAUAGCUGGGCUAAGAAUGCUGACAUGAGUAGCCUAAAAGGAGGGUAAUUCCCUCUUCGCCGAAAGCAGAAGGGUUUCAUUUGUAAGGUCUAUACCUAGAUGAUUAAAGCAGCGGCCUCUAAGGUUCAGAGUAACAAAUUAGUUCCGAUGAGUAACUCUUCUAUAGGGCAGUAACCUUCCUUAUAAGUUUACCUUCAAGUAAUUAGAGGUAUACUUCAAAGAGUAAGGUUCGGGAAAGAGCCCUACAGAAUCAAUCUUAAAACCGUACCCUAAACCGACACAGGUCUGCAAGUAGAGCAUACUAAGGCGUAGAGAUAAUCGUCUUGAAGGAACUCGGCAAAAUGACCCCGUAACUUCGGGAGAAGGGG